GAUGAACGCUGGCGGCGUGCCUAAUACAUGCAAGUCGAGCGAACAGACGAGGAGCUUGCUCCUCUGACGUUAGCGGCGGACGGGUGAGUAACACGUGGAUAACCUACCUAUAAGACUGGGAUAACUUCGGGAAACCGGAGCUAAUACCGGAUAAUAUAUUGAACCGCAUGGUUCAAUAGUGAAAGACGGUUUUGCUGUCACUUAUAGAUGGAUCCGCGCCGCAUUAGCUAGUUGGUAAGGUAACGGCUUACCAAGGGAACGAUGCGUAGCCGACCUGAGAGGGUGAUCGGCCACACUGGAACUGAGACGCGGUCCAUACGCCUACGGGAGGCAGCAGUAGGGAAUCUUCCGCAAUGGGCGAAAGCCUGACGGAGCAACGCCGCGUGAAUGAUGAAGGUCUUCGGAUCGUAAAACUCUGUUAUUAGGGAAGAACAAAUGUGUAAGUAACUAUGCACGUCUUGACGGUACCUAAUCAGAAAGCCACGGCUAACUACUUG
rnacentral:rRNA from 1 species